UACGUAGGGACCGAGCGUUGUCCGGAAUCAUUGGGCGUAAAGAGCGUGUAGGCGGCCCCUUAAGUCCUGCGUGAAAUCCUGCGGCUCAACCGCAGACGGUCGUGGGAAACUGGAGGGCUAGAGUGCGGGAGAGGAGAGUGGAAUUCCCGGUGUAGCGGUGAAAUGCGCAGAUAUCGUAAGGAAGACCAGUGGCGAAGGCGGGUCUCUGGACAGUUCCUGACGCUGAGGCACGAAGGCCAGGGGAGCAAACGGG
rnacentral:rRNA from 1 species